UACGAAGGGGGCUAGCGUUGCUCGGAAUUACUGGGCGUAAAGCGCACGUAGGCGGCUUUCUAAGUCGGGGGUGAAAUCCUGGAGCUCAACUCCAGAACUGCCUUCGAUACUGGAGAGCUUGAGUCCGGGAGAGGUGAGUGGAACUGCGAGUGUAGAGGUGAAAUUUGUAGAUAUUCGCAAGAACACCAGUGGCGAAGGCGGCUCACUGGCCCAUAACUGACGCUGAGGCACGAAAGCGUGGGGAGCAAACAGG
rnacentral:rRNA from 1 species